rnacentral:rRNA from 1 species
CCUACGGGAGACAGCAGUGAGGAAUAUUGGUCAAUGGCCGGAAGUCUGAACCAGCCAAGUCGCGUGCGGGACGACUGCUCUAUGGGUUGUAAACCUCUUUUGUAAGAGUAGAAACACUGCUACGUGUAGCAGUAUGACAGUACCUUACGAAUAAGCAUCGGCUAACUCCGUGCCAGCAGCCGCGGUAAUACGGAGGAUGCGAGCGUUAUCCGGAUUUAUUGGGGUUAAAGGGUGCGUAGACGGUGGUUUAAGUUAGUGGUUAAACGCCGGGGGUCCACUUUGAUUUGCCAUUAAUACUGUAAGACUCGAGUGCAGACGAGGUAGGCGGAAGGAAUGGAGUAGCGGUGAAAUGCUUAGAUAUAACUUAGAACUCCGAGUGCGAAGGCAGCUUAACAGGCUACGACUGACGCUGAGGCACGAGAGCGUGGGUAGCGAACAGGAUUAGAUACCCGGGUAGUC